GACGAACGCUGGCGGCGUGCUUAACACAUGCAAGUCGAACGGUGAAGCGCCUUCCUUUUUGGUGGGUGUGGAUGAGUGGCGAACGGGUGAGUAACACGUGAGUAACCUGCCCCCUUCUUCUGGAUAACCGCAUGAAAGUGUGGCUAAUACGGGAUAUUCUGGGUCUGUCGCAUGAUGGGUCUGGGAAAGAUAUUGUUUCGGUGGGGGAUGGGCUCGCGGCCUAUCAGCUUGUUGGUGGGGUGAUGGCCUACCAAGGCGGUGACGGGUAGCCGGCCCGAGAGGGUGGACGGUCACACUGGGACUGAGACACGGCCCAGACUUCUACGGGAGGCAGCAGUGGGGAAUAUUGCACAAUGGGCGCAAGCCUGAUGCAGCGACGCCGCGUGAGGGAUGGAGGCCUUCGGGUUGUGAACCUCUUUCGCCAGUGAAGCAGGCCUGCCUCGUUUGUGGGUGGGUUGACGGUAGCUGGAUAAGAAGCGCCGGCUAACUACGUG
rnacentral:rRNA from 1 species